AUAAUGUCAUAGGAUUUGGCUUCUCUUUAACCCCUUAGUGACCAGACCAUUUUUCAAUGUAUUUUUUUUUUUAAGGUAUUUUGGGGGUUUUGUAAAAAUGUGUGUUUUUGUGCCUGGAGAUAAUAGAGUUUAAUACAGUGCAUGACUCAAUUAUCUCCCAGGCAUAGGGGAGAGAUUGACCUAUUUUGUAUGGGAGUGUCCUGGACCUGAGAGCCAAUGUAAUGGUGGAUAUGUUUUUACUGUAG